UGCGUGUGGAAGGCACAGGUAAGUGACGAUCACUUCGAGUUACAUUCUUGAAGUUGUAAAUGAACAUUGCAGUUGGUCCGGUUAUCGCAAAUAUAGAAAUCUUCAACGUACUCUAACUGUUUAGAAAGAAUCUCUUUAUGGAAUUUAAAAGAAGAAUUUUUCUUCUGCUACUAUAGUGUCCAAUUUUCAGAAUGUUAUGGGUGUACCUUCUUUUCAUUGUGACUGCUGCUUGCACAGCUUUCCCGCAAAGAGCACACCAGAACAGUAAAGUAUUCGCUGCAGCUAAUAGACAAGGUGAUCCAAUCAAUGCUGCCCUUAUCGGUUUCUUCUCACCUCCGUUCAUCAUAGCCAUGAGCAUGGGCGCUUUGGCAUAUACUUUCGAAAAAUUCACCAAAGACAUGAUCAAAGCCGCUUCCAAAAAUAGGAGGGGAUACAGGCGGAAGAAGAAAAAGCCCACCGAGGCUCCACCACCACCCACAAAUUCCAGAGAUAUGGAACGAGAACACAGGAAAUUGAUAGAAGCUCUUGCUAGAUAUGGGUGAAUAUCUGAAUUACUGACUGACUACUGUGACUGUCAUGGGAGCUGGACUCUUUAUUUUUUUAUGCUGUCUCGUGGUGUUACGAUAUCUAUAGAAUGGAUAUUCAUCGGAUUUCAUCUCUAAAAAAUGUUUUGUUUUUGAUGUAGAAAUUGUUCAAGGUUAUAAUGGAUGUUGCAAAAAUGAAAAAAUCGAGCAAAAUUACAAAUUUUUGUUGCAGUAUAUUGCUUAUAAUCUGUUAUACAAUUUGUAAAAAGUUAUAUCAAACAUGAUGCAAUAUCAAAAAUGAUGAGAAAAAAAUUAUUAAAAUUUUUUUACAGAACAGGUUAUUGUAUUUAGAACUAUCAAAUUUUUCAUAUAAUUGGAUUUUUGGUAGUAGGUGCUCAUUAAA